rfam:Triticum aestivum genome assembly, contig: Triticum_aestivum_CS42_TGACv1_scaffold_398295_5AS
UGAUGCGAUCAUACUAGCAUUAAAGCAUCGGAUCCCAUCAGAACUCCAAAGUUAAGCGUGCUUGGGCGAGAGUAGUACUAGGAUGGGUGACCUCCUGGGAAGUCCUCGUGCUGCAUUCC